rnacentral:rRNA from 1 species
CGGGGUGCAGCAGGCGCGAAAACUUCACAAUGGGAGAAAUCCCGAUGAGGGAAUUCCAAGUGCUAGCACUAUGUGUUAGCUGUUCUUUUGUCUAAAAAACAGAAGAAGUAAGGGCCGGGUAAGACGGGUGCCAGCCGCCGCGGUAAUACCCGCGGCCCGAGUGGUGGUCGAUAUUAUUGAGCCUAAAACGUCCGUAGCCGGUCUUGUAAAUCCUUGGGUAAAUCGGCCAGCUUAACUGUCCGAAGUCCGGGGAGACUGCAAGACUUGGGAUCGGGAGAGGUCAGAGGUACUUCUGGGGUAGGGGUAAAAUCCUGUAAUCCUGGAAGGACCACCGGUGGCGAAGGCGUCUGACUAGAACGAAUUCGACGGUGAGGGACGAAGCCCUGGGGCGCAGACGGGAUUAGAUACCCCGGUAGUCCAGGGUGUAAACGCUGCGGGCUUGGUGUUGGGGGUCCUUUGUGGGCGCCCAGUGCCGGAGAGAAGUUGUUAAGCCUGCUGCUUGGGGAGUACGUCCGCAAGGAUGAAACUUAAAGGAAUUGGCGGGGGAGCAC